rnacentral:tRNA from 1 species
GGGGAUUUAGCUCAGUGGUAGAGCACUUGCCUAGCAAGCAUGAGGCCCUGGGUUCGGUCCCCAGCUCCU